rnacentral:rRNA from 1 species
UACGUAGGGACCAAGCGUUGUUCGGAUUUACUGGGCGUAAAGGGCGCGUAGGCGGCAAAUCAAGUCAGCUGUGAAAUCUCCGAGCUUAACUCGGAACGGUCAGCUGAUACUGUUUUGCUAGAGUGCAGAAGGGGCAAUCGGAAUUCUUGGUGUAGCGGUGAAAUGCGUAGAUAUCAAGAGGAACACCUGAGGUGAAGACGGGUUGCUGGGCUGAUACUGACGCUGAGGCGCGAAAGCUAGGGUAGCAAACGGG